rnacentral:rRNA from 1 species
GACGUAGGGCGCGAGCGUUUGUCCGGAUUUAUUGGGCGUAAAGAGCUCGUAGGCGGCUUGUCGCGUCGAAUGUGGAACUCGGGGCUCAACUCCGAGCUUGCAUUCGAUACGGGCAGGCUAGAGUUCGGUAGGGGAGACUGGAAUUCCUGGUGUAGCGGUGAAAUGCGCAGAUAUCAGGAGGAACACCGGUGGCGAAGGCGGGUCUCUGGGCCGAUACUGGCGCUGAGGAGCGAAAGCGUGGGGAGCGAACAGG